rnacentral:rRNA from 1 species
CCUACGGGGGGCUGCAGUCGAGAAUCAUUCACAAUGGGGGAAACCCUGAUGGUGCGACGCCGCGUGGGGGAAUGAAGGUCUUCGGAUUGUAAACCCCUGUCAUGUGGGAGCAAAUUAAAAAGAUAGUACCACAAGAGGAAGAGACGGCUAACUCUGUGCCAGCAGCCGCGGUAAUACAGAGGUCUCAAGCGUUGUUCGGAAUCACUGGGCGUAAAGCGUGCGUAGGCUGUUUCGUAAGUCGUGUGUGAAAGGCGCGGGCUCAACCCGCGGACGGCACAUGAUACUGCGAGACUAGAGUAAUGGAGGGGGAACCGGAAUUCGCGGUGUAGCAGUGAAAUGCGUAGAUAUCGAGAGGAACACUCGUGGCGAAGGCGGGUUACUGGACAUUAACUGACGCUGAGGCACGAAGGCCAGGGGAGCGAAAGGGAUUAGAUACCCCUGUAGUC